rnacentral:rRNA from 1 species
GGAAUCUUAGACAAUGGGCGCAAGCCUGAUCUAGCCAUGCCGCGUGAGCGAUGAAGGCCUUAGGGUUGUAAAGCUCUUUCACCGGGGAAGAUAAUGACGGUACCCGGAGAAGAAGCCCCGGCUAACUCCGUGCCAGCAGCCGCGGUAAGACGGAGGGGGUUAGCGUUGUUCGGAUUUACUGGGCGUAAAGGGCGCGUAGGCGGCCCGAGAAGUUCUGGGUGAAAGCCCCCGGCUCAACCGGGGAAGCGCCUGGAAAACCAUCGGGCUGGAGUGCUGGAGAGGCAAGCGGAAUUUCUGGUGUAGCGGUGAAAUGCGUAGAUAUCAGAAGGAACACCUGCGGCGAAGGCGGCUUGCUGGACAGACACUGACGCUGAGGCGCGAAAGCCAGGGGAGCA